rnacentral:rRNA from 1 species
AUGCGCUCCAAUUUCGAUCAGCGGAUGGUGCACUUCCACGGUAACGGCGGCAGCGGCGUCAAGUCCUCCGCGAACUCGGCCUCUCGUGGACGUGGCGGCUCCUCUCGGCAUGGCGGCUUCUCCCGUGGUAGGGGGAGGUCCAAUGGAGGCGGCAACGGCGGCGGCUCCAACUCCCGCAACAGCGGGCGUGCUCCCACCAGCAACAGAUCUCGCCGCGGGGGCGGCAAUACUCGCGCACGUCCUGAUGCCCCUCGGUGCCAGAUAUGUGGCAAGUUGGGGCACACAGCAAAAUAUUGCUGGUACCGCUACGAAGAGGACGAGGAUUCCUCUCAAGAUGAUGACAAGGUGGCGGCGGCUGCAGAUGGCUCCUACGGAAUCAACACCAACUGGUACGUCGACAGCGGCGCCACUAACCACAUCACCAACGAGCUCGAGAAGGUGACCAUGAAGGAGAAAUACCGCGGCAAGGACCAAAUCCACACAGCUAGUGGUGAAGGUAUGGAGAUUAGUCACAUUGGUCAUUCAAGUUUUAGUACCCCUUCUCGCAAAAUCCAUCUUAGGAAAAUUUUGCAUGUUCCUAAUGCCGACAAAAGUCUUCUCUCUGUCCAUAGAAUUGCUCUUGAUAAUCAUGUCUUCUUUGAGUUUCACCCUUACUUCUUUUUGAUCAAGGAUCAGGUGAUGAAGAGAAUUCUCUAUCGAGGUAGAUGCGUUCGUGGACUCUACCCGUUGAUUCCGGAGCUUAGGAGACUGAAUAAACAAGCUUGUGGUGCUAUCAAGCUUUCAUCCACACGAUGGCAUGAUCGUCUAGGACAUGCGUCUUUUUCUUUAGUUGAAAAAUUACUUAGGAAGAAUAAGCUCAUGUUUGUUGGUGACCGCAAUAUUGAAACUAUUUGUGAUUCCUGUCAACGAGCUAAGAGUCAUCAGCUACCCUAUCCUAUAUCCACUAGUGUGUCUACCAAACCAUUGCAAUUAAUUUUUUCAGAUGUUUGGGGUCCUGCCCCCAACUCAGUAGGUAGACAUAUGUACUAUGUAAGUUUCAUUGAUGACUACAGUAAAUUUUCCUGGAUUUAUCUUCUUAAGAAAAGAUCUGAUGUCUUUCAAGUUUUUAAGAACUUUCAAGCACUCGUUGAACGCCAAUUUGACAGCAAGAUACUUGCUAUCCAAUCAGACUGGGGCGGAGAGUAUGAGAAAUUAAACUCUUUCUUUCAAACUCUCGGCAUCUCUCACCAUGUGUCGUGCCCCCACGCUCACCAACAAAACGGCUCUGCUGAACGCAAGCACAGGCACAUUGUUGAGGUCGGUCUAGCUCUUUUAGCUGGCGCCUCCAUGCCUUUGAAAUUCUGGGAUGAAGCCUUUCUCACCGCAGUUCACAUCAUUAACAUGCUUCCUAGUCGUGUUAUCAAUAAUGAAACUCCAGUAGAACGGCUACUCCACACCAAACCCGACUACACGUCUCUUCGUGUUUUUGGGUGUGCAUGUUGGCCCAAUCUUCGUCCGUACAAUCAACACAAACUUAUGUUUCGGUCAAAGCAAUGUGUAUUUCUUGGGUAUAGCUCCCAACACAAAGGUGUCAAGUGCCUAGAUGUGUCCACGGGGCGAGUUUAUAUCUCCCGUGAUGUUGUUUUUGACGAAACAAAGUUUCCUUUCACCGAGCUUCAUCCCAACGCUGGUGCCUUACUUCGCAAAGAAAUUCUACUCUUGCCUCCUCUCACCGGCCUUGAUCAUGGGGGAAUUACUUGUGAUGAUUCAAUGCCGACUAACCCUCCUAGUGGUGCAACCGAGUACUCUGGUGAUGUUGCAGGAACAAUCAGCGAAGAAAAUGAAGUAAAUGGCCCUCAAGUGCCAUAUUGGUUGUGUCCGGAUUUGGGGAACAAAUCCCCCUUGGGAUCGGCGCCGAACCAGUUGCAGCCCAGAAGAUCCGCGCCGGGAUCAGCGCUGGCAGACGCGCCAGACCUGCCAGCGACGGAAUCUGCCGCGCGUGCGGACCAGCUCUCGGCUGGCGGCUCGCCCGAUGCCACGCGGCGGCGUCCCAGUGGAGCGGGCGGUGUGCGCUUCCCCGACCAACCGCACUGCUACAAGCGGUGGGCCCAGGCACGGCCGACCGGCGCGGGAUCCAGCGCUGACCCUACUAGCCAGGAGGGCACAGGCUUCGAUGCUGAUCCUCGUGGCCCCGCACAAUCAUCGGCUCAUGAUGAGCCGGCUGGUGCGCCAGGAUCUUCUGCGGCUGAUACAACUUCGUCAUCACGUGCUGAAGCCACAGAGGAUCCGGUGUGGGUACCAGGCAAUUCUGCCUCGGGAUCGCCUGCGCCAGGGACUCCUGUGCGCGGCUCCGGAUCUUCUGCGCCGGCUGAUUCAGCAGUGCAGUCAAUGAUGGAAGAAUAUGUGGCACUGAAAAAAAAUAAAACAUGGCAUUUGGUUCCCCCACGGCAAGUUGUAAAAGCUGCCACCAUUUGCCUUGUUCUGUCUAUUGCUGUCUCUAGAGGAUGGAGUCUCAGACAGCUAGAUAUACAGAACGCGUUCCUUCAUGGUGUUCUGGAAGAAGAGGUGUAUAUGAAACAACCUCCUGGGUUUGAGAGCAAAUCUAAUCCUUCAUUUGUGUGCAAACUUGAUAAAGCACUCUAUGGCUUGAAGCAAGCUCCAAGGGCGUGGUACUCCCGUCUUAGUCACAAGAUGCAAUCACUUGGUUUUGUUCCUUCCAAGUCAGAUACCUCACUGUUCAUUUACAAUAACCUCAAUACUUGCAUAUUUGUUCUCAUCUAUGUUGAUGACAUUAUUGUUACAAGUACAUCUAGUGAGGCCAUUGCAUCAUUGUUGAAGGAUUUAAGUGUAGAAUUUGCUCUCAAGGAUCUUGGAGAUUUGCAUUUUUUCCUUGGGAUUGAAGUGAAGAAACACAAGGAAGGACUUCAUCUCUCUCAAGAGAAGUAUGCUACUGAUCUGGUCAGAAAGGCAGGACUGCAAGGUUGUAAACCCUCCUUCACUCCAUUAUCCAGCUCAAAAAAGCUAUCUCUCACAGAAGGGCAACUCUUGAAUCAAGAGGACAGUACAAAGUACAAGAGUUUAGUAGGUGCACUACAGUACUUGACCCUAACAAGGCCUGAUAUCUCCUUUGCUGUUAACAAGGUAUGUCAGUUUCUGCAUGCUCCUACCACUGUGCAUUGGACUGCUGCAAAACGCAUUGUUAGAUAUGUUAAACACACCUUGAGCAUUGGCCUUAAUUUCAGCAAGUCACCCUCAACUCUGGUUAGUGCUUUCCCUGAUUCUGACUGGACAUGCUGUCUAGAUGACAGGCGCUCCACUGGUGGAUUUGCCAUAUUCUUUGGACCUAACUUGAUUUCAUGGUGUGCAAGAAAACAAGCCACUGUGUCUCAAUCUAGCACAGAAGCAGAGUACAAAGUAUUAGCUAAUGCUACAGCUGAAAUCAUAUGGGUUCAAUCAAUGUUCAAAGAACUUGGUAUACAUAGUUCUCAAGCUCCAUGUUUGUGGUGUGAUAAUCUUGGUGCUACCUACUUGUCUGCAAAUCCAGUUUUUCAUGUCAGAACAAAGCACAUAGAGAUAGAUUUUCACUUUGUCAGAGAAAGAGUUGCACGGAAACAGCUUGAUAUUCGGUUCAUUCAUUCCAGAGAUCAAGUUGCAGAUGGGUUUACUAAAGCCCUGCCUAUCAGAAACUUUAAAGAAUUUAAGCAUAAUCUCAACCUGAUGAAGUUGUGA